GAUGAACGCUGGCGGCGUGCCUAAUACAUGCAAGUCGAGCGAACGGACGAGAAGCUUGCUUCUCUGAUGUUAGCGGCGGACGGGUGAGUAACACGUGGAUAACCUACCUAUAAGACUGGGAUAACUUCGGGAAACCGUAGCUAAUACCGGAUAAUAUUUUGAACCGCAUGGUUCAAAAGUGAAAGACGGUCUUUCUGUCACUUAUAGAUGGAUCCGCGCUGCAUUAGCUAGUUGGUAAGGUAACGGCUUACCAAGGCAACGAUGCAUAGCCGACCUGAGAGGGUCAUCGGCCACCCUGGAACUGAGACACGGUCCAGACUCCUACGGGAGGCAGCAGUAGGGAAUCUACCGCAAUGGGCGAAAGCCUGACGGAGCAACGCCGCGUGAGUGAUGAAGGUCUUCGGAUCGUAAAACUCUGUUAGUAGGGAAGAACAUAUGUGUAAGUAACUGUGCACAUCUUGACGGUACCUAAUCAGAAAGCCACGGCUAACUACGUG
rnacentral:rRNA from 1 species